AGACCGCCAGCUAAGGUCCCAAAGUACUAGUUAAGUGGGAAACGAUGUGGAAAGGCAUAGACAGCUAGGAGGUUGGCUUAGAAGCAGCCAUCCUUUAAAGAAAGCGUAAUAGCUCACUAGUCGAGUCGGUCUGCGCGGAAGAUGUAACGGGGCUAAACCAUGCACCGAAGCUGCGGCAGCGACGCUUAGGCGUUGUUGGGUAGGGGAGCGUUCUGUAAGCCGUCGAAGGUGGACUGUGAGGUCUGCUGGAGGUAUCAGAAGUGCGAAUGCUGACAUAAGUAACGAUAAUGCGGGUGAAAAACCCGCACGCCGGAAGACCAAGGGUUCCUGUCCAACGUUAAUCGGGGCAGGGUGAGUCGACCCCUAAGGCGAGGCUGAAAAGCGUAGUCGAUGGAUGACAGGUUAAUAUUCCUGUACUGUUUAUUAUUGAUAACGAGGGACGGAGAAGGCUAAGUCAGCCGGAUGUUGGUUACCGGUUUAAACUUUCGAUGUGAUGAGGAGUGGAGAAAACAUUCUGAGCAAAGAAGUGAAUACAAAGUACUAAGGUGCUAAAGUGAUUGAUGUCAUACUUCCUAGAAAAGCUCGACAUAUCUUAAAUAAUAAACACCUGUACCCGAAACCGACACAGGUAGGUAGGUAGAGUAUACCAAGGGGCGCGAGAUAACUCUCUCUAAGGAACUCGGCAAAAUGGCCCCGUAACUUCGGAAGAAGGGGUACCCUUGUAGGGUUGCAAUAACCAGACCCAAGCGACUGUUUAUCAAAAACACAGGUCUCCGCUAAGUCGCAAGACAAUGUAUGGGGGCUGACGCCUGCCCAGUGCCGGAAGGUUAAAGAAGUCGGUUAGUAUUUAUACGAAGCUGACGACUGAAGCCCCGGUGAACGGCGGCCGUAACAAUAACGGUCCUAAGGUAGCGAAAUUCCUUGUCGGGUAAGUUCCGACCCGCACGAAAGGCGUAACGAUUUGGGUACUGUCUCGGAGAGAGACUCGGCGAAAUAGACUUGUCUGUGAAGAUGCGGACUACCUGCACCUGGACAGAAAGACCCUAUGAAGCUUUACUGUAACUUGGAAUUGGGUUUGAGCUUUUCUUGCGCAGCAUAGGUGGGAAGCUAAGAAAAUAGGUUUGCGGAUCUAUUUGAGCUAUCAGUGAGAUACCACUCUGGAAAAGCUAGAAUUCUAACCUUGAAAGCCGUUAUCCGGCCAAGGGACAGUUUCAGGUGGGCAGUUUGACUGGGGCGGUCGCCUCCUAAAAAGUAACGGAGGCGUGCAAAGGUUCCCUCAGGCUGGUUGGAAAUCAGUCGUAGAGUGUAAAGGCAUAAGGGAGCUUGACUGCAAGACCUACAAGUCGAGCAGAGACGAAAGUCGGCCUUAGUGAUCCGACAGUGCCGAGUGGAAGGGCUGUCGCUCAACGGAUAAAAGUUA
rnacentral:rRNA from 1 species